rnacentral:lncRNA from 1 species
CCUUACUGUGUUGCCCAGGCUGGUCUCAAACUUCUAGGCUCAAUUGAUACUCCUACUUCAGCCUUCUGAAUAGCUAGGCUUACAGGAACACAACACUGCAGCAGCUUAGAUGGUCAAAUGGUCUUCAACAAGGGUGCCAAUACCACUCAAUGGGAAAAGAACAGUCUCUUCCACAAAUGGUUAGAGGAAACACUUUCAGUCCCAUCCAGUUAGGAAAACUGUAUAUCUACAUGCAAAAGAAUGAAGUUGAACACUUAUCUUACAGAAUGUACAAAAAUUAACUUUAAAAUGGAUUAAAGACAUAAGCAUAAGACCUAAAACUAUAAAAUUCCUAGAAGAAAACAAGGGAAAAGCUGUAUGGCAUUGGACUUGGUGAUGAUAUCAUUGAUAUGACACCAAAAGCAUACACGGCAAAAGCAAAAUUAAACUAAUAGGACUAUAUAAAACUUAAAAUAUUUUGUGCAGCAAUGGACACAAUCAGCCAGGUGUGGUAGCACUUGUCUAUAGUCCCAACUACUCGGGAGGCUGAGGCAAAAGGCUGAGGCAGGAAGAUCAGCCUGUAGUGAAUUAUGCCAAUCAAGUGUCCACACUAAGUUCAGCAUUAAUCUGGUGAACUCCUGGGAGCAGGGUAUCACCAGGUUACCUAAAAAAGAGGGAACUUGCCCAACUUGGAAAUGAAGCAUGUCAAAACUCCCAUCCUGAUCAGUAGUGGGAUUGUGCCUGCAUAUAGCCACUGCACUCCAACCUAGGCAACACAGCAAGACCUGGUCCAUUGCAAAAUAAACAAAAAAGACACAAUCAACAGGUGGAAAGGCAACCUACAGAAUGGGAGAAUAGGAUAAAUUAUUCGUGAACCAUAUAUCCGAUUAGGGGUUAAUAUCCAGAAUAUAUAAAAAAACUCACUCCUACAACUUAAUAAAAAAGUCAAAUAACCUGAUUUAAAACAGGCAAAAAAACUUGAAUAAAUGUAUCUCCAAAGAUGACAUACAAAUGGCCAACAAGCAUAUGAGAAGAUGCUCAACAUCAGUAAUCAUCAGAAAAAUGCAAAUCAAAACCACAAUGAGAUAUUACCUCACACUGCUUAGAAUAGCUAUUAUCAAAAAGACAAAAGAUACCAAGUGUUGACAAGGAUGUGGAAAAAUUGGUAUCCUUGUUCACUGUUAGUGGGAUUGUAAAAUGAUGCAAUUGCUAUGGUAAACAGUAUGGAGUUUCCCCAUAAAAUCAUAAAUACAAGUACCAUAUGAUCCAGCAAUCCAACUUCUAGGUAUACACUCAAAAAAAUUCAAAGAAGAAUCUCAAAAAGAUAUUUGCAUACCCAUGUUUAUAGCAGCACUAUUCAUAGUAGCUGAGUUAGAAGCAGUCCAAAUGUCCAUCAAGGGAUGAAUAGAUAAACAAAACAUGAUAUAUAUCUAGAAUAGAAUAUUACUCAGCCUAAGAAAG